rnacentral:sRNA from 1 species
GGUGAAUUAGCUUUUCACAGCAUCUCAACACUGCUCUGGAUCACCAGGGUUGAUUCGGUUGAUCUGGCUGGUUAAGAGGGUGCCCCCUUCCUCCUUCACCACUGCAUGUGUGUCCCUCCCAAAGCUGCAUGCUCAGCUGCAGCAGAUGACCUUCCCCAAAUAGAGGAGGACUGGUCUGCAGUCAAGGGUAUAUGAGUAGCUGUGCUCCCCUGCUAGAACCUNNNNNNN